GACGUAGGGCGCGAGCGUUGUCCGGAUUUAUUGGGCGUAAAGAGCUCGUAGGCGGCUUGUUGCGUCGACCGUGAAAACUUGGGGCUUAACCCUAAGCUUGCGGUUGAUACGGGCAGGCUAGAGUUCGGUAGGGGAGACUGGAAUUCCUGGUGUAGCGGUGAAAUGCGCAGAUAUCAGGAGGAACACCGGUGGCGAAGGCGGGUCUCUGGGCCGAUACUGACGCUGAGGAGCGAAAGCGUGGGGAGCGAACAGG
rnacentral:rRNA from 1 species